UUCCGGAACGCCAAGGUGGCCAACCUCUACAAGGCCAGCGUGCUGAAGAAGGUGGCCGAUAUCCACAGAGCCUCCAAGGAUGGGCAGCCCUAUGAUGUGGGAGGCAGUACCAAGAGCUGCAGUGCCCAAGCUGAGCCCCCGGAGCCCAAUGAGUAUGACAUCCCACCAGCCUCCCAUGUGUACUCGGUGAGCUGUGGCCCAGUGCCCUCCAGACCUGUGACCAGGAAAGGCUCCACUUCCCCUCUGCCCUCAGGGGUGCACCUCUUGCCAAGGCCUGGCUCCCCAGCAGGGUCCUGCCUGCCUGUUCCCUCCCACACUCCUGAGAGCCCCGUC
rnacentral:sRNA from 1 species